AAUAAGAUGCCUGAGGUUAAAGGACUAUUUUGAUAGAAUAGGUUACGUAUUAUAUACUCUUAUUA
rnacentral:tRNA from 2 species